GAUUUCUGGUUAAGUAACGCUAGCCCGCCCUUGCCAGGGGUGUGCGCUGGUUAGUUGCUUGCCAUCUUUCUAGAAAGCCAGCGUUUGUCAUUCACUUGGCGGACGUGACGCGAUCUAGAUCUUUUACUUUGAAAAAAUUAGAGUGUUUAAAGCAGGCUUACGCUAUGAAUACAUUAGCAUGGAAUAAUAAUCUAGGACUUUCGGUUCUAUUUUGUUGGUGUUCUGGAGCUGAAGUAAUGAUUGAUAGGGAUAGUUGGGGGUGCUAGUAUUCAAUGGCCAGAGGUGAAAUUCUCGGAUUCCUUGAAGACUAACUUAUGCGAAAGCAUU
rnacentral:rRNA from 1 species